rnacentral:tRNA from 1 species
AUACCGAUAGUUUAAUGGUUAGAAUAGUUGGCUGUUAACCAACAAGAUAUAGGUUCGAAUCCUAUUCGGUUCG